rnacentral:misc_RNA from 1 species
UUAACUAUUUUAUGGUACUCAGACGACACUAAUAUUCAGAGUUUGGGGUCCUCUGGCGGGCGCUUACCAGCCGGAGCCGGUAGCCUGACCGAAGCCUGACGGCCUGCCAAAGCAACAAAGGGAAUAUAACAUAGGGUGGGAGAUCUACCCGUAAGGGCAUGAACUCGGUAAUGAUCCCUCCGCAGGUUCACCUACGGAGA